UAGGGAAUCUUCCGCAAUGGGCGAAAGCCUGACGGACCAACGCCGCGUGAGUGAUGAAGGUCUUCGGAUCGUAAAACUCUGUUAUUAGGGAAGAACAAAUGUGUAAGUAACUAUGCACGUCUUGACGGUACCUAAUCAGAAAGCCACGGCUAACUACGUGCCAGCAGCCGCGGUAAUACGUAGGUGGCAAGCGUUAUCCGGAAUUAUUGGGCGUAAAGCGCGCGUAGGCGGUUUUUUAAGUCUGAUGUGAAAGCCCACGGCUCAACCGUGGAGGGUCAUUGGAAACUGGAAAACUUGAGUGCAGAAGAGGAGAGUGGAAUUCCAUGUGUAGCGGUGAAAUGCGCAGAGAUAUGGAGGAACACCAGUGGCGAAGGCGACUUUCUGGUCUGUAACUGACGCUGAUGUGCGAAAGCGGGGGGAUCAAACAGG
rnacentral:rRNA from 1 species